UUGUGACCGUUAUAAUGGGCAUGAAACACAACAAUGCUCGUUUUAACGUUCACAGGG
rnacentral:pre_miRNA from 1 species